UACGGAGGGUGCAAGCGUUAUCCGGAUUUACUGGGUUUAAAGGGUGUGUAGGCGGGCUUUUAAGUCAGUGGUGAAAUCUCCGGGCUCAACCGUCGAAACUGACCAUUGAUACUAUUAGUCUUGAAUUUUGUUGAGGUAGGUCGGAAUAAGUCAUGUAGCGGUGAAAUGCAUAGAUAUGACUUAGAACACCAAUUGCGAAGGCAGCUCGCUACAC
rnacentral:rRNA from 1 species